CAGGAUAUAGCCAAAUUGGUAAGGCACCUCAUUUACACCGAGUAAUUCUCUGUUCAAAUCAGAUUACCCUGA
rnacentral:tRNA from 1 species